AAGUCGUAACAAGGUCUCCGUAGGUGAACCUGCGGAGGGAUCAUUACCCAAAUAUGAACGCAGACUGGGCACCCUAGAGAGGAGCGAUUCGUCGCCCCCCCUCCUGGGCCGGUCUGACGCCAUAUUCACCCAUGUCUUUUGCGUACUACUUGUUUCCUUGGCGGGUUCGCCCGCCAUUAGGACCCAACUAUAAACCUUUUUGUAAUUGCAAUCAGCGUCUGAACAAACAAUGUAAUAAAUUACAACUUUCAACAACGGAUCUCUUGGUUCUG
rnacentral:misc_RNA from 1 species